CCUACGGGAGGCUGCAGUGGGGAAUUUUGCGCAAUGCUCGUAAGAGUGACGCAGCGACGCCGCGUGAAUGACGAAGGCCUUCGGGUCGUAAAGUUCUUUCGACAGGGAAGAAAAUGCCUAUAAGUAACUGUGUAUGUAUUGACGGUACCUGUAUAAGCAGCCCCGGCUAACUCCGUGCCAGCAGCCGCGGUAAUACGGAGGGGGCGAGCGGUGUUCGGAGGGACUGGGCGUAAAGAGCACGUAGGCGGUGUUGUAAGUCAUUAGUCAAAGACUAGAGCUCAACUUUAGUAAGGCUAGUGAUACUAUAAUACUAGAGUAUCAGAGAGGAUUGCAGAAUUCCUGGUGUAGCGGUGAAAUGCGUAGAUAUCAGGAGGAAUACCGUUAGCGAAGGCGGCAAUCUGGCUGGAAACUGACGCUGAGGUGCGAAAGCGUGGGUAGCAAACAGGAUUAGAUACCCUUGUAGUC
rnacentral:rRNA from 1 species